UGCAGUCGACGCUUGUCGCAGGGUAGCAAUAUUCUGCGGCAGGAGUGGCGCAAGGGUGCGUAACACGUGGGUUAUUUGCCGCGAAGUUGGGAACAACUCGUUGAAAGACGAGCUAAUACCUAAUGUGCUCCGCAAGGAGUAAAGCCGGGGACCGAAAGGCCUGGCGCUUCGCGAUAAGCCCGCGGCCUAUCAGCUAGUUGGCGGGGUAAAAGCCCACCAAGGCUAAGACGGGUAGCUGGUCUGAGAGGACGACCAGCCACACUGGAACUGAGACACGGUCCAGACACCUACGGGUGGCAGCAGUCGAGAAUUUUUCACAAUGGGCGAAGGCCUGAUGGAGCGACGCCGCGUGGGGGAUGAAGGGCUUCGGCUCGUAAACCCCUGUCAUUUGCGAACAAAGGCGCCAACCUAACACGUUGUUGUCUGAUAGUAGCAGGAGAGGAAGGGACGGCUAACUCUGUGCCAGCAGCCGCGGUAAUACAGAGGUCCCAAGCGUUGUUCGGAUUCACUGGGCGUAAAGGGUGCGUAGGUGGUGAACUAAGUCGGGUGUGAAAUCUCCGGGCUCAACCCGGAGCGUGCGCCCGAAACUGGUUUGCUAGAGGAUAGGAGGGGAGACUGGAAUUCUCGGUGUAGCAGUGAAAUGCGUAGAUAUCGAGAGGAACACCGGUGGCGAAGGCGAGUCUCUGGACUAUUCCUGACACUGAAUCACGAAAGCCGGGGGAGCAAACAGGAUUAGAUACCCUGGUAGUCCCGGCCCUAAACGGUGCGCAUUUGCUGUGGGCGGAAUCGACCCCGCCCGUGGCGAAGCUAACGCGAUAAAUGCGCCGCCUGGGGAGUACGGCCGCAAGGUUAAAACUCAAAGAAAUUGACGGGGGCCUGCACAAGCGGUGGAGUAUGUGGCUUAAUUCGAUGCAACGCGAAGAACCUUACCUGGCCUUGACAUGCAGAUGGUAGAAGCCUGAAAGGGUGACGAUCCCGCAAGGGAAGUCUGCACAGGUGCUGCAUGGCUGUCGUCAGCUCGUGUCGUGA
rnacentral:rRNA from 1 species